AAUCUUCCACAAUGGACGAAAGUCUGAUGGAGCAACGCCGCGUGAGUGAAGACGGUCUUCGGAUCGUAAAACUCUGUUGUUGCAGAAGAACGUAUUUGAUCGUAACUGACCAGGUAGUGACGGUAUCCAACCAGAACGCCACGCCCAACUCCGUGCCACCCGCCGCGGGAAUACGUAGGGGGCAAGCGUUGCCCGGAUUUAUUGGGCGUAAAGCGAGCGCAGGCGGUUUCUUAAGUCUGAUGUGAAAGCCGUCGGCUCAACCGAAGAAGUGCAUCGGAAACUGGGGAACUUGAGUGCAGAAGAGGACAGUGGAACUCCAUGUGUAGCGGUGAAAUGCGUAGAUAUAUGGAAGAACACCUGUGGCGAAGGCGGCUGUCUGGUCUGUAACUGACGCUGAGGCUCGAAAGCAUGGGUAGCAAACA
rnacentral:rRNA from 1 species